UGUCCUGGAGCUUGUAUUUGUGUUUCUUAAAUCACUGCGUUUCCCAGCCGCCUCGCUCCCGUCUGGCCCAGGCAGUGCUCUGAUGGGCACAGGGGCGCUGACAAGCAGCGGUGCCCCAAGUCUGUGCUUCUUGGCCGAGUCCAGGGAGGACUGGUGGUUGGCAUCUCACAGCCAGUCUCUGAAGGGAUGAGAUAGUGGGAGGCUGCCAUCUGGUUCUGAUUUGACUUUCACCCUGAGACC